rnacentral:rRNA from 1 species
UUAGGUGGGGAAGAAGGGGGAGCGGUCGAAGGAGCUGGAGGCGUUGGGGUCGCUAGAGCGGCCCCAGGAGCCGGGCGGUAGGGGGAGGCGCGGGGCGCGGCGGAGGUGGUUGUUGGUCAAGCUGCAGUGGCUGAAGGAGGUGCCGGUGGAGCCGCCGGAGGAGAGCCCGCCGCGGUGGUAGGUCUAGCAGGAGCUCCCGAGGAGGAAGGGGCCGCCUAAGCGGAGGAAGGUUCCCCCGGGGCAGGGGCCGCCCCAGUCGGAGCCGCUGAUGAAGUACCCUAGGCCGGAGCUCGUCGAGUAGGUCGUCGAGCGGCUCUUGCUGGGGUCGGCGAUGCCGUGGGGCGGGCGGCGGUUCCGGCGGCAGCGGCGGGACGGGUUGCAGCGGCAGAGACGGCUGUACUACCGGCGGCUGCCCCCGCGGGUCACACGGCAGACAUACCUGCUGAAGGAGGAGCCGCGGCGGCGGUUCGUCGAGGGGACGUUGGUGCAGAAGGUGUUCCUGACGUAGGACGGGACCGAGCUGGAGGUGUCGAGGACGGGACAGACGGCGGUGCUCGACGGGUGGCUACUGGGACUGAUACUCUUGGUGGUCGCGGUCCGGCGACGGGGACGACGACGACGACGCCGUGGACGCAGAGGACCACCACCGUCGGGAAGCGGAUCCCAGUACCUCUCCUCCAAGUCCUAGAGGGACGGGACCGGAGAGUCCCGGCGAAAACCGCGCGUCGUCCGCCUCUCGUCGCUGGUCCUGCGACGACCGAGACGACUGAUGUUGUUGCUAGGUCUACGCUCGCCAGCGAGCAUACUACUAGAGCUGACUUCGCGAACGUUCCUUCUCCCCUUGUCCCCCUAUUCCUCCCCGUUUGCCUGACCGACCUUCCUCAGACUUACGUUCCUUCUCUUCUGUUCUUCUUCUUCUUCUGAACACAACAACAACAACUAGACUUAACCUUCGAAAAAAACCACUACUUCUCACCGCGGCGGGCAGCUAACUAGAGGCAACGGAGCAGGGGGGAGGGGAGAAACGGACAGUACCAACAUCUUUCUCUCUUUUUUUUUCAUCUCUACUAUAAGAAAACAACGGACCAGACCAGACCAGACCAACCACCCAACUGAACUGACUUAUAUAUGGAAGAACACCCUUCCUUCCUUCUUCGAGGGAGGAAGGAUUGAAGGAACAGACACAAUAAUCAUCUUAACACACAGACACAGCAGCUAGCUAGAAGGAAAGAGAGAACACCCUACCCUUCUUUCUUUCUUUCUUUCUUCUUUCCCUUGGGAUCGCUACGCUAGGCUAGGCUAGGAGGAUAUAUAUGUAUUACACAAUAUGUACUUGGCCACCUCAUACAAAUUUACCUACCUACCACAGACCUUUACUACGUUGUGAUCAUCAUAAAACAACGUAACAAAAGGGAGGGAUCGAUCCCUAAACACUGGACGUCCAAUCUACACGU